GGAGUUAGCCGGUGCUUCUUCUGCGAGUAACGUCACAGAUGUAAGGUAUUAACUUACACCCUUUCCUCCUCGCUGAAAGUGCUUUACAACCCGAAGGCCUUCUUCACACACGCGGCAUGGCUGCAUCAGGGUUUCCCCCAUUGUGCAAUAUUCCCCACUGCUGCCUCCCGUAGGAGUCUGGGCCGUGUCUCAGUCCCAGUGUGGCUGAUCAUCCUCUCAGACCAGCUAGGGAUCGUCGCCUAGGUGAGCCUUUACCUCACCUACUAGCUAAUCCCACCUGGGCUUAUCCAUCAGCGCAAGGCCCGAAGGUCCCCUGCUUUCCCCCGUAGGGCGUAUGCGGUAUUAGCAGUCGUUUCCAACUGUUAUCCCCCACAAAUGGGCAAAUUCCCAGGCAUUACUCACCCGUCCGCCGCUCGUCAUCUUCAAAAGCAAGCUUUUGAAAUGUUACCGCUCUACUUGCAUGUGUUAGGCCUGCCGCCAGCGUUCAAUCUGAGCCAUGAUCAAACUCUGA
rnacentral:rRNA from 1 species